rnacentral:rRNA from 1 species
AGGACGAACGCUGGCGGCGUGCUUAACACAUGCAAGUCGAGCGGAAAGGCCCUUCGGGGUACUCGAGCGGCGAACGGGUGAGUAACACGUGAGCAAUCUGCCCUUAGCUUCGGGAUAGCCCCGGGAAACCGGGAUUAAUACCGAAUAUGACCUCGGCCGACAUCGGCUUUGGUGGAAAGUUUUUCGGCUAGGGAUGAACUCGCGGCCUAUCAGCUUGUUGGUGGGGUAAUGGCCUACCAAGGCAACGAUGGGUAGCUGGUCUGAGAGGACGACCAGCCACACUGGGACUGAGACACGGCCCAGACUCCUACGGGAGGCAGCAGUGAGGAAUUUUUCCGCAAUGGGCGAAAGCCUGACGGAGCGACGCCGCGUGCACGAGGAAGGUCUUCGGAUCGUAAAGUGCUGUCGAGGGGGACGAUUAUGACGGUACCCCUGGAGGAAGCCCCGGCUAACUACGUGCCAGCAGCCGC